AUCCCUAUGGUGUAAAGGAUGCACAAGAGGUUUCUACCCUCUCAGUCUGGGUUCGAAUCCUAGUGGGGAUGCCA
rnacentral:tRNA from 1 species